CAGAUAUUCAAGUCCUUCUGGAGGUGAGGGAAGAGUGAAUAUUCACCUGAACUGCAGAACCUGCUGAUAUAUUCACUGUAUAAAAGAAACCUUUAAAGGUGAGAAUUGGACAGCACAGAGUUAUUGGAAAGUAUAUGUGAAAUCAUUCAACGUCAUCCAGAAGAAGACAAAGAAACAAAGGGUGAAAGAAAGCAUCAGCAUCUC